rnacentral:misc_RNA from 1 species
GUGAUUUGAGUAUUCAGACAACUGCAUUGUUAAUACUGAGGUUAAUGCAGAAUGGUUGUCGCAAGUUAAUAAGUAUGAUAGAAUCUUUCAAAAAGAUCCAACACAAAGUAGUAAUGAAGUCUUUGCCUUUCAAAUGCUCUGCUAUGCAUAAACUUGCACAGCAGGCUUCAUGUUCAUCCUGUUGAAAUAACUUAGUUUUUCAGUUGAACAACUAGGAGACAAUUAAGUAUUUUAGGUUGCAACGCAG